rnacentral:rRNA from 1 species
UUGCAGAAAGAAGCGCCCGGCUAACUACGGGCCAGCAGCCGCGGUAAUACGUAGGGCGCAAGCGUUGUCCGGAAUUAUUUGGGCGUAAAGAGNUNNUAGGCGGCUAGUCGCGUCUGCUGUGAAAGCCCGGGGCUUAACUCCGGGUGUGCAGUGGGUACGGGCAGGCUAGAGUGCAGUAGGGGUAACUGGAAUUCCUGGUGUAGCGGUGAAAUGCGCUAGAUAUCAGGAGGAACACCGAUGGCGAAGGCAGGUUACUGGGCUGUUACUGACGCUGAGGAGCGAAAGCAUGGGGAGCGAACAGGAUUAGAUACCCUGGUAGUCCCAUGCCGUAAACGU